rnacentral:rRNA from 1 species
GGGGGGGGGGGGGGGGGGGGGGGGGGGGGGGAGGGCGGGCGGGGGCGGGGGGAGGGCUGGCGCGUACGGGGGGCGAGGGGCGGGCGGGUGAGGAAUACAGCGGAAUCUACUUGUUCGUGGGGGCUAACGUAGGGAAACUUACGCUGAUACCGCAUACGACCUACGGGUGGAAGCCGGGGAUCUUCGGACCUUGCGCGAUUGAAUGAGCCUAUGUCGGAUUAGCUAGUUGGCGGGGUAAAGGCCCACCAAGGCGACGAUCCGUAGCUGGUCUGAGGGGAUGAUCAGCCACACUGGAACUGAGACACGGUCCAGACUCCUACGGGAGGCAGCAGUGGGGAAUAUUGGACAAUGGGCGCAAGCCUGAUCCAGCCAUACCGCGUGGGUGAAGAAGGCCUUCGGGUUGUAAAGCCCUUUUGUUGGGAAAGAAAAGCAGCAGGUUAAUACCCCGCUGUUCUGACGGUACCCAAAGAAUAAGCACCGGCUAACUUCGUG